AAAUAAAAUAUUUCACCCAUUGAGGCAGCACUUCCUCUCUGAAAAGGUACCUUACCAAAACAUCGGUACCGCCCACUCCACAGUGUUGAAAAUCUGUGCAAAAGUCCCGUUCGCCGCACCCACAUGGGAGUUCCAAAGUAGGGUUUUAAGCUAGGGUUACGGUUCACAACUGUACCUUGGGUUUCAAAUUAGUGUUUCAAACUCGGGGUAGGGGUUUCAAAUUGGGUUUCAAACUUGUACUUGUAGCUGUCGUCCAUGUCUGCCACUUGAGAAAUCGGACGCGGGUAUGACAAUCGGCCGAUUCGAGUUCUGCUUUGGGCCCGGCAACUUGAAUGACGGCUCGAUGCAGAUGUGUGUGCCUCAUGUAAGUCAAUUGUGUGUUGAUGCCUCACCAGAGGGAGGUGAAGAAUUAUUUAGUGCGGUGUAUAGCGUAUGUACGCCUGCUUGCAUUUGCAUAAUUUGAUCGUAUUUAUGGUUUAAGGGUCUAUAUUUGGCGCCAACUCAGGAGGGGAAAAAAAAAAAAGCAA